CCGCCGUAAUACCAAACACCGCCACAUUCGGUGGCCAACAACACCUUGAAAUGGGUCUUUCGACCCCGAUUCAAGGCCGUAUUCUGGUAAUCCUUCUUUCCUUCUCUCUUAUAUUUGUUUGUAUUGCAGAUUCGAAUGAAAAAAAAGGAAAAAAACAGAAUAAAAACGAUGGUAAACCACCUUUGAGAUGUAAUCUUCUGACUGUCUCCUGUUGAUUUCUGUAUAUUUGUUUGAUUUUCUCAAUCCGUGUUCUAUUUCUCUAGAAAAAAAAGGGGGAAAAAAUCCCAAUAAAAUGAAUAUCCAUGGCUUUUUAUAGCCAUAUUUACAACUGAUUUUGCCUCUACUCGUUGCAGGUAUGGUGAACGUGGAGAAGGGGUACACGGACAUUAGGCACUAGUGUGUGGUGGUGGAGAACGUGGGUAGUGGCGGUUGAAUGUGGGCACAUGGGGGCUGAAGGGAGGCAACAAAUCUAGG
rnacentral:lncRNA from 1 species